CCCUUAGAUGUCCUGGGCUGCACGCGCGCUACACUGAUGUGUCCAGUAAGCACCUAACCUCUUCCGAAAGGAACGGGUAACCUUUGCAAAGCACAUCGUGAUGGGGAUAGAUUAUUGCAAUUAUUAGUCUUGAACGAGGAAUUCCUAGUAAGCACAAGUCAUCAGCUUGUGUUGAUUACGUCCCUGCCCUUUGUACACACCGCCCGUCGCACCAACCGAUUGGAUGUUUUGUUGAAAUAUGUGGAUGCUUGUUGGGUGAAUUCAUUUUUGCUUGAUAGACAGAAACGUAUUAAAACUGAAUAUCUAGAGGAUGGUGAAGUCGUAACA
rnacentral:rRNA from 1 species